rnacentral:rRNA from 1 species
GGGGUAAAAUUAAAAAAAAAUAAAAUAAUAAAAAAAAUUUUAAAGUUAAAAAUAUGAUAGGGGUUUAAGUAUUUUUAAUAGAAAAAAUUUAAAUAUUUAUAGUAAAUUAGUAUUGUGAAAGAAUUUUGAAAUAAUUUUGAAAAAAAAAUUUAUUUAAAAGUAAUUUUAAUUUAAUGUAUCUUGUGUAUCAGAGUUUAUUAAAAAUUGUUUAUUAAUUUAAAUUUCUCGAAUUUAAAAGAGUUAAUUAAUUAAAAAAUUUAUUGUUUCAUAAAUAUUUUAAAUAAUUAAUUAGAAAUGAAAUGUUAUUCGUUUUUAAAUAUAUCUAGUUAUUUUAGAAAAAAAUUUAAUUUUUAAUAAAAUUAUAUAAUUAAUUAAUUUUUUAAUUAAUUAUAUAAUUUUAUUUAAUAUUUUAAGGGAUAAGCUUUAAUUUAAAUUAUUAUAAUUUAGAUUAAAUUAUUUGAAAAUUUUAUAAUUUAAAUUGUUAAUAAAUUUUAAUUUAUUAUAAAUAAUUUCAAUGUUUUUAAAAUUUAAUUUAAAAUUUAAUUUUUUAUAAAAUAAUAAUUUUUAAUUAAAAAAAAUUAGUUAUAAUGAUAAAAUUAGUAUAUAAUAUAUAAAUAUAAAAUUAAUUUAUAAUUUUAUAAUAAAUUAUUUAAAAGGAAUUCGACAAAUAUAUAUGUCCACCUGUUUAUCAAAAACAUGUCUUUUUGUAAAUAAUUUAAAGUCUAAUCUGCCCACUGAUUUAAUAAUUAAAGGGCUGCAGUAUAUUGACUGUACAAAGGUAGCAUAAUCAUUAGUCUCUUAAUUGGUGACUUGUAUGAAGGAUUGGAUGAGAUAUAAAUUGUCUCUUAAAUAUUAAAUAGAAUUUAAUUUUUUAAUUAAAAAGUUAAAAUAAUUUAAAAAGACGAGAAGACCCUAUAGAGUUUUAUAUAUAUUUAUUUUUAAUUUUUUUAUUAAUGGUUUAUUUUAAAUUUAAAUUAUAUAUUUUGUUGGGGUGAUAAAAAAAUAAAAUUAACUUUUUUUAAAAUUAAACAUAGAUAAGUGAUUUUUUGAUCCAGUAAUAUUGAUUAUAAGAAAAAAUUACCUUAGGGAUAACAGCGUAAUUUUUUUUUUUAGUUCAAAUAAGAAAAAAAGUUUGCGACCUCGAUGUUGGAUUAAGAUAAAAUUUAGAUGCAAAAGUUUAAAAUUUUGAUCUGUUCGAUCAUUAAAAUCUUACAUGAUCUGAGUUCAAACCGGUGUAAGCCAGGUUGGUUUCUAUCUUUUAAAAUUUUUAAUAUUUUAGUACGAAAGGAUCAAAUAUUAUAAUUAAAUUAAUUUAUUUGAAUUUUAUUAAAUAAAUAUUAAAUUUAUUUUUAUAUAUUUAGUAAUAUAUAUAUAUAUAUAUAUAUAU